rnacentral:rRNA from 1 species
CCUACGGGAGGCAGCAGUGGGGAAUAUUGGACAAUGGGCGAAAGCCUGAUCCAGCAAUGCCGCGUGAGUGAUGAAGGCCUUAGGGUUGUAAAGCUCUUUUACCAGGGAUGAUAAUGACAGUACCUGGAGAAUAAGCUCCGGCUAACUCCGUGCCAGCAGCCGCGGUAAUACGGAGGGAGCUAGCGUUAUUCGGAAUUACUGGGCGUAAAGCGUACGUAGGCGGUUAUUCAAGUCAGAGGUGAAAGCCCGGGGCUCAACCCCGGAACUGCCUUUGAAACUAGAUAACUAGAGUCUUGGAGAGGUUAGUGGAAUUCCGAGUGUAGAGGUGAAAUUCGUAGAUAUUCGGAAGAACACCAGUGGCGAAGGCGACUAACUGGACAAGUACUGACGCUGAGGUACGAAAGCGUGGGGAGCAAACAGGAUUAGAUACCCUGGUAGUCCACGCCGUAAACGAUGAUAACUAGCUGUCCGGGCACUUGGUGCCUGGGUGGCGCAGCUACGCAUAGUUAUCGCCGUGGGUGGUACGGUCGCAGAUUAAACUACAAUAGAAUAGACGGCGUGAGACGUGCCGACGGACGACGACGAGGGAGGUAGG